AGAAGAGAAGAAGAGGAAGAAGAAGAACAGGAAGAGGAAGAAGACAGGAAGAGGAAGUAGAAGACAAAGAAGGAGAACAUCCGCCUUGCCUGCGUCUUUCCUCUUGGCGGCAGGAAGGGGCGGGGCCUGGUCCACCUCGGAGGCGUACUCUUCUUCCUCUUCCUCUUCCUCCGCUUCCUCUUCCUCUUCCUCC